rnacentral:rRNA from 1 species
CAUGGUUAAGUGGGAAACGAUGUGGGAAGGCCCAGACAGCCAGGAUGUUGGCUUAGAAGCAGCCAUCAUUUAAAGAAAGCGUAAUAGCUCACUGGUCGAGUCGGCCUGCGCGGAAGAUGUAACGGGGCUAAACCAUGCACCGAAGCUGCGGCAGCGACACUAUGUGUUGUUGGGUAGGGGAGCGUUCUGUAAGCCUGUGAAGGUGUACUGUGAGGUAUGCUGGAGGUAUCAGAAGUGCGAAUGCUGACAUAAGUAACGAUAAAGCGGGUGAAAAGCCCGCUCGCCGGAAGACCAAGGGUUCCUGUCCAACGUUAAUCGGGGCAGGGUGAGUCGACCCCUAAGGCGAGGCCGAAAGGCGUAGUCGAUGGGAAACAGGUUAAUAUUCCUGUACUUGGUGUUACUGCGAAGGGGGGACGGAGAAGGCUAUGUUGGCCGGGCGACGGUUGUCCCGGUUUAAGCGUGUAGGCUGGUUUUCCAGGCAAAUCCGGAAAAUCAAGGCUGAGGCGUGAUGACGAGGCACUACGGUGCUGAAGCGACAAAUGCCCUGCUUCCAGGAAAAGCCUCUAAGCAUCAGGUAACAUCAAAUCGUACCCCAAACCGACACAGGUGGUCAGGUAGAGAAUACCAAGGCGCUUGAGAGAACUCGGGUGAAGGAACUAGGCAAAAUGGUGCCGUAACUUCGGGAGAAGGCACGCUGAUAUGUAGGUGAAGCGACUUGCUCGUGGAGCUGAAAUCAGUCGAAGAUACCAGCUGGCUGCAACUGUUUAUUAAAAACACAGCACUGUGCAAACACGAAAGUGGACGUAUACGGUGUGACGCCUGCCCGGUGCCGGAAGGUUAAUUGAUGGGGUUAGCGGUAACGCGAAGCUCUUGAUCGAAGCCCCGGUAAACGGCGGCCGUAACUAUAACGGUCCUAAGGUAGCGAAAUUCCUUGUCGGGUAAGUUCCGACCUGCACGAAUGGCGUAAUGAUGGCCAGGCUGUCUCCACCCGAGACUCAGUGAAAUUGAACUCGCUGUGAAGAUGCAGUGUACCCGCGGCAAGACGGAAAGACCCCGUGAACCUUUACUAUAGCUUGACACUGAACAUUGAGCCUUGAUGUGUAGGAUAGGUGGGAGGCUUUGAAGUGUGGACGCCAGUCUGCAUGGAGCCGACCUUGAAAUACCACCCUUUAAUGUUUGAUGUUCUAACGUGGGCCCCUUACCGGGGUUGCGGACAGUGUCUGGUGGGUAGUUUGACUGGGGCGGUCUCCUCCUAAAGAGUAACGGAGGAGCACGAAGGUUGGCUAAUCCUGGUCGGACAUCAGGAGGUUAGUGCAAUGGCAUAAGCCAGCUUGACUGCGAGCGUGACGGCGCGAGCAGGUGCGAAAGCAGGUCAUAGUGAUCCGGUGGUUCUGAAUGGAAGGGCCAUCGCUCAACGGAUAAAAGGUACUCCGGGGAUAACAGGCUGAUACCGCCCAAGAGUUCAUAUCGACGGCGGUGUUUGGCACCUCGAUGUCGGCUCAUCACAUCCUGGGGCUGAAGUAGGUCCCAAGGGUAUGGCUGUUCGCCAUUUAAAGUGGUACGCGAGCUGGGUUUAGAACGUCGUGAGACAGUUCGGUCCCUAUCUGCCGUGGGCGCUGGAGAACUGAGGGGGGCUGCUCCUAGUACGAGAGGACCGGAGUGGACGCAUCACUGGUGUUCGGGUUGUCAUGCCAAUGGCACUGCCCGGUAGCUAAAUGCGGAAGAGAUAAGUGCUGAAAGCAUCUAAGCACGAAACUUGCCCCGAGAUGAGUUCUCCCUGACUCCUUGAGAGUCCUGAAGGAACGUUGAAGACGACGACGUUGAUAGGCCGGGUGUGUAAGCGCAGCGAUGCGUUGAGCUAACCGGUACUAAUGAACCGUGAGGCUUAACCUU